GAUGAACGCUGGCGGCGUGCCUAAUACAUGCAAGUCGAGCGAACAGACGAGGAGCUUGCUCCUCUGACGUUAGCGGCGGACGGGUGAGUAACACGUGGAUAACCUACCUAUAAGACUGGGAUAACUUCGGGAAACCGGAGCUAAUACCGGAUAAUAUAUUGAACCGCAUGGUUCAAUAGUGAAAGACGGUUUUGCUGUCACUUAUAGAUGGAUCCGCGCCGCAUUAGCUAGUUGGUAAGGUAACGGCUUACCAAGGCAACGAUGCGUAGCCGACCUGAGAGGGUGAUCGGCCACACUGGAACUGAGACACGGUCCAGACUCCUACGGGAGGCAGCAGUAGGGAAUCUUCCGCAAUGGGCGAAAGCUUUACGGAGCAACGCCGCGUGAGUGAUGAAGGUCUUCGGAUCGUAAAGCUCUGUUAUUAGGGAAGAACAAAUGUGUAAGUAACUAUGCACGUCUUGACGGUACCUAAUCAGAAAGCCACGGCUAACUACGUG
rnacentral:rRNA from 1 species